GAUGAACGCUGGCGGCGUGCCUAAUACAUGCAAGUCGAGCGAGCGGAACCAACAGAUUUACUUCGGUAAUGACGUUGGGAAAGCGAGCGGCGGAUGGGUGAGUAACACGUGGGGAACCUGCCCCUAAGUCUGGGAUACCAUUUGGAAACAGGUGCUAAUACCGGAUAAUAAAGCAGAUCGCAUGGGGGAAUCAUGAAAGCUACAUGCGCUAAGAGAGAGCUUUGCGUCCCAUUAGCUCGUUGGUGAGAUAACGGCCCACCAAGGCAAUGAUGGGUAGCCGGCCUGAGAGGGUGAACGGCCUCAAGGGGACUGAGACACGGCCCUU
rnacentral:rRNA from 1 species